rnacentral:rRNA from 1 species
CCCGCUGAACUUAAGCAUAUCAAUAAGCGGAGGAAAAGAAACCAACAGGGAUUACCCUAGUAACGGCGAGUGAAGCGGUAACAGCUCAAAUUUGAAAUCUGACCUUCACGGGUCCGAGUUGUAAUUUGUAGAGGAUGUUUCGGAUAAGGCUUUGGUUUAAGUUUCUUGGAACAGAACGUCAUAGAGGGUGAGAGUCCCGUCUAGAGCCGAUAGCCGCGUCCAUGUGAAACUCCUUCGACGAGUCGAGUUGUUUGGGAAUGCAGCUCAAAAUGGGUGGUAAAUUUCAUCUAAAGCUAAAUAUUGGCCAGAGACCGAUAGCGCACAAGUAGAGUGAUCGAAAGAUGAAAAGCACUUUGAAAAGAGAGUUAAACAGUAUGUGAAAUUGUUGAAAGGGAAGCGCUUGAAGUCAGUCGUGUCUGCUAGGGAUCAAGUUGCCUCUGGGUGACCGCACUUCCUAGUUGGAUGGGUCAGCAUCAAUUUUGACCGUUGGAUAAAGGCCUAGGGAAUGUGGCAUCUUCGGAUGUGUUAUAGACCUGGGUUGGAUACAAUGGUUGGGAUUGAGGAACUCAGUGUGCCUUCAUGGUUGGGGCCUCGGCUCACAUUUGCACACUUAGGAUGCUGGCAUAAUGGCUUUAAUCGACCCGUCUUGAAACACGG